rnacentral:rRNA from 1 species
AUUGAACGCUGGCGGCAUGCUUUACACAUGCAAGUCGAACGGUAACAGGUUAAGCUGACGAGUGGCGAACGGGUGAGUAAUGCAUCGGAACGUGCCCGGUCGUGGGGGAUAACGCAGCGAAAGCUGCGCUAAUACCGCAUACGAUCUGAGGAUGAAAGCGGGGGACCGUAAGGCCUCGCGCGAUCGGAGCGGCCGAUGUCAGAUUAGGUAGUUGGUGGGGUAAAGGCUUACCAAGCAGACGAUCUGUAGCUGGUCUGAGAGGACGACCAGCCACACUGGGACUGAGACACGGCCCAGACUCCUACGGGAGGCAGCAGUGGGGAAUUUUGGACAAUGGGCGCAAGCCUGAUCCAGCAAUGCCGCGUGCAGGAAGAAGGCCUUCGGGUUGUAAACUGCUUUUGUACGGAGCGAAAAGGCUCUCUCUAAUACAGGGGGCUCAUGACGGUACCGUAAGAAUAAGCACCGGCUAACUACGUGCCAGCCGCCGCAGUAACAC